rnacentral:lncRNA from 1 species
ACGUGUAUGGUCCAGUACGAGCUGACCAUACAUGUUAUUGGAUCAUUUGGUUUACAUUUAGACCACCAUUAUCACAAUCUUUAUUUUUAGCAUUACAAAUUGUUAUUAUUACAAUAAGAUGGACGUAAUUUUCAUGCUCUAAACACCAAAUCCUGUAUUUUGACAUUUACCGGCCGCUUGCAACAACUUUUGACAAUCACUUUUCCAUUGUGGUGUCAGAUAUUUUGUUUUAUGGCGUCAAAAUUUUACAGGAACAUCAUUCUGUUCCUUUAUAAAAGAAACUAUAAAACGUAAAAAGAAAAAACAACAGUUAUAAAGAAUACAGAUAAAUGUACUUACAUUGAAUCUGAGUGGUGGCUUGGUAAAUGGCGUUGACUUUGAAUAUGACGUCAUCACUUAAAUAGCGUCACAACUAAAAGCCCUAACAACGAACCAAAAUCGGAAACGUUACGGUAUUUCCGUAUCUUUUUUUUAA